CCUACGGGUGGCUGCAGUGGGGAAUAUUGGGCAAUGGGCGCAAGCCUGACCCAGCAACGCCGCGUGAAGGAAGAAGGCUUUCGGGUUGGUAACUUCUUUUCUCAGGGACGAAGAAAGUGACGGUACCUGAGGAAUAAGCAACGGCUAACUACGUGCCAGCAGCCGCGGUUAUACGUAGGUGGCAAGCGUUAUCCGGAUUGAUUGGGUGUAAAGGGCGUGUAGGCGGGAGCGCCAGGCAGAUGGGAAAACCGAGGGCUCAACCCUGAGCCCGCAUUUGAAACUGUGUGUCUUGAGUGCUGGAGAGGCAAGCGGAAUGCGGGGUGUAGCGGUGAAAUGCGUAGAUAUACCGAGGAACUCCAGUUGCGAAGGCAGAUUGCUGGAGAGUAACUGACGCUGAGGCGCGAAAGCGUGGGGAGCAAACAGGAUUAGAUACCCUGGUAGUC
rnacentral:rRNA from 1 species